AGGGUUUGAUCAUGGCUCAGGACGAACGCUGGCGGUGCGCCUUAUGCAUGCAAGUCGAGCGAAGCUUUUCAGUAGUUUACUACAGAAAAUGACUGAGCGGCGAACGGGUGAGUAACGCGUGAGCAAUCUACCUUAGUUACAGGGAUAGCCCGAGGAAACUCGGAUUAAUACCUGAUAUUCUUUAUUUCUCGCAUGAGAAUAAAAGGAAAGGUCAGCCGAACUAAGAUGAGCUCGCGUUCUAUCAGCUAGUUGGUGAGGUAAAAGCUUACCAAGGCUACGACGGAUAGCUGGUCUGAGAGGACGAUCAGCCACACUGGGACUGAGACACGGCCCAGACUCCUACGGGAGGCUGCAGCAGGGAAUAUUGUGCAAUGAACGAAAGUUUGACACAGCGACACCGCGUGUGGGAUGACGGAUCUAGGUUUGUAAACCACUUUCAGGAGGGAAGAAAAUGACGGUACCUCCACAAGAAGCCCCGGCCAACUACGUGCCAGCAGCCGCGGUAAUAC
rnacentral:rRNA from 1 species